rnacentral:rRNA from 1 species
UACGGGGGGAGCAAGCGUUGUUCGGAUUUACUGGGCGUAAAGGGCGCGUAGGCGGCCACCGCAAGUCGACUGUGAAAUCUCCGGGCUUAACCCGGAAAGGUCAACCGAUACUGCGGGGCUAGAGUGCAGAAGGGGCAACUGGAAUUCUCGGUGUAGCGGUGAAAUGCGUAGAUAUCGAGAGGAACACCUGCGGCGAAGGCGGGUUGCUGGGCUGACACGUGACGCUGGAUGCGCGAAAGCUAGGGGAGCGAACGGG